AACGAACGCUGGCGGCAGGCCUAACACAUGCAAGUCGAGCGAACCCUUCGGGGUUAGCGGCGGACGGGUUAGUAACGCGUGGGAAUAUACCCUUUGGUACGGAAUAGCCUCGGGAAACUGAGAGUAAUACCGUAUGUGCCCUUCGGGGAAGAUUAUCGCCAAAGGAUUAGCCCGCGUUGGAUUAGAUAGUUGGUGGGGUAAUGGCCUACCAAGUCUACGAUCCAUAGCUGGUUUGAGAGGAUGAUCAGCAACACUGGGACUGAGACACGGCCCAGACUCCUACGGGAGGCAGCAGUGGGGAAUCUUAGACAAUGGGCGCAAGCCUGAUCUAGCCAUGCCGCGUGGACGAUGAAGGCCUUAGGGUUGUAAAGUCCUUUCAGAUGGGAAGAUAAUGACGGUACCAUCAGAAGAAGCCCCGGCUAACUCCGUG
rnacentral:rRNA from 1 species